rnacentral:rRNA from 1 species
GAUGAACGCUAGCUACAGGCUUAACACAUGCAAGUCGAGGGGCAGCACAGUGUAGCAAUACAUGGGUGGCGACCGGCGCACGGGUGCGUAACGCGUAUCCAACCUUCCCGUUACUCUUGGAUAGCCUUCCGAAAGGAAGAUUAAUACCCGAUGGCAUGUAUUUCCGGCAUCGGAGAUACAUUAAAGAUUUAUCGGUAACGGAUGAGGAUGCGUACGAUUAGCUUGUUGGCGGGGUAACGGCCCACCAAGGCGACGAUCGUUAGGGGUUCUGAGAGGAAGGUCCCCCACACUGGAACUGAGACACGGUCCAGACUCCUACGGGAGGCAGCAGUGAGGAAUAUUGGUCAAUGGUCGGAAGACUGAACCAGCCAAGUAGCGUGAAGGAUGACUGCCCUACGGGUUGUAAACUUCUUUUGUUUGGGAAUAAAAGACGCUACGUGUAGCGUUCUGCAUGUACCUUACGAAUAAGCAUCGGCUAAUUCCGUG